UCAGCACCUUGCGGAGGUUUCUAGUGAUAAGUCUUCGCCGUGGGGGGCGCUGAGCGAGAAGUGUGCUUGCUUUACUUCGUGUGUGUCCAUCUUUGCGGACUUAAGUGCGACUUCGAAGGUUGACUCGCCAGCCUAAUCCGUAAUGCCUGAGCCCACCAAGUCCGCUCCCGCCGCAAAGAAGGGCUCCAAGAAGGCGGUCACCAAGGCGCAGAAGAAGGACGGCAAGAAGCGCAAGCGCAGCCGCAAGGAGAGCUACUCGGUCUACGUGUACAAGGUGCUGAAGCAGGUGCACCCCGACACCGGCAUCUCCUCCAAGGCCAUGGGCAUCAUGAACUCGUUUGUCAACGACAUCUUCGAGCGCAUCGCGGGCGAGGCGUCGCGCCUGGCGCACUACAACAAGCGCUCCACCAUCACGUCGCGGGAGAUCCAGACAGCCGUGCGCCUGCUGCUGCCCGGGGAGCUGGCCAAGCACGCCGUGUCCGAGGGCACCAAGGCCGUCACCAAGUACACCAGCUCCAAGUGAACUUGCCAAAUGAACAACCUUAGCAGUAUCCUCCUUGAUUUACACACUCCCAAAUUCCCCUCUGGAUGCUGACUACAAGAAAUGAAUAUUCAGGGAUAGAUAUCAACUUUGAUUGGAGUUCUUGGACUUCAUUCUGGGAGAGAGAUGAAUGCAGAGAAGAAAUGAAUGCAUAAAGUAAAUGAAAACAUGAAUCUGUCCAUAAGGUAUGAAGUAUGAAAAGUUUGAUCUGCCUGAGAAUGACUGACUUGCAAAUACAACCCAUCCUGAUUUACCACUCAAUAAAUCAUCAAAAGAUCACUGCCUAAGCCAAAGAGAUUAAACAAGAUGUUUUAGAUUCUCGUUUUUCUUUUUCGUUUGAUUUAUUAAAAACAAUUUACUUCUGU